rnacentral:ncRNA from 1 species
UGGGCUGGUCGAAAGACUCGGGUCCACCCGUCGGCGGGGACUUUCCCC